CUGGCUCAGGAUGAACGCUGGCGGCGUGCCUAAUACAUGCAAGUCGAACGAGGUAGCAAUACCGAGUGGCGAACGGGUGAGUAACACGUAGGUAACCUGCCCUUAAGCUUGGGAUACCCAGAGGAAACUUGGCUAAUACCGGAUAACAACAGAGAAGGCAUCUUCUUUGCUUGAAAGGCCCCUUCAAGGGUCACUUAAGGAUGGACCUGCGGCGCAUUAGCUAGUUGGUGAGAUAACAGCCCACCAAGGCGAGGAUGCGUAGCCGAACUGAGAGGUUGAUCGGCCACAUUGGAACUGAGACACGGUCCAAACUCCUACGGGAGGCAGCAGUAAGGAGUUUUCGGCAAUGGGGGAAACCCUGACCGAGCAACGCCGCGUGAGCGAUGACGGCCCUAUGGGUUGUUAAAAAGCUCUGUUGUAAGCCAUGAAUGAUAGCUUGAGGAAAUGCAAGCUAUUUGACGACAGCUUACCAGAAAGCCACGGCUAACUACGUGCCAGCCGCAGC
rnacentral:rRNA from 1 species